GUGCUUGCUUCAGCAACACACAGACUAAAAUUAGAAUGAUGUAGAGAAAAUUAGCAUGGCCCCUGUGAAGAGAUGACACCCACAUUUGUUAAGUGUCCCCAAUUUUU